UCAAUUGCAUUUAUAGUGUCAGGUCAUAACAGGAGUUAUUAAAGGACACUUUACAGAAAGAGUAGGUCUAGGUUCAAUCAAACAGCCUUUUCC